CUAAGAAUAUUCCGCAAUGGAGGAAACUCUGACGGAGCGACGCCGCGUGGAUGAUGAAGGUCGGAAGAUUGUAAAAAUCCUUUUAUGACUGAGGAAUAAGUACGUUGAGAGAAACGGCGUAUGGUGACUGUAGGUCAUGAAUAAGCAACGGCUAAUUACGUGCCAGCAGCCGCGGUAACACGUAAGUUGCGAGCGUUGUUCGGAAUUAUUGGGCGUAAAGGGCAUGUAGGCGGUAUUGCAAGCCUGGUGUGAAAGGCGGGGGCUCAACCCCUGGACUGCGCUGGGAACUGCAUUACUAGAGUCGCUGAGGGGCAAUCAGAAUUCCAGGUGUAGGGGUGAAAUGCGUAGAUAUUAGGAGGAACACCAGUGGCGAAGGCGGCUUACUGGACGAU
rnacentral:rRNA from 1 species